ACAGCUCUGGCGCCAUAAUCAGGGUCGCGGGUUGGGAUCAGCUGUGCCUCCCCAUCCCCACCCCCUACAGACCACCUCCCCUUACCCUGCCUGCCUGGAGCCCCAGCUGGCUCUUGGAAGGUCCCUUUCCAAUUUGCUCCACAUUCGGGAGUUUCUUAUUCCCACGGGAAGAACUCGUUGCCAUGGCGAUGUGCGCCUCCCAACCCUGAAGCCCGCCCUGGAAGCGAAAUCCUUGCCUGGGCUCCCAGGCUGAGCCGGAGGACCCCGGGGGUUCACCUAGCCCUCUGGGAUAAGGGGCUUUAGUCUCUAUAUUCUUUGGGCUUGGGGGUUGGGGACAGUGGGAGGAUUAAUUAUGGAGGCAAGGUCAGAGGAAAAGGGAAAAAUGGGAAAGAUUUUAUUUAAAGCCCCUGGUCAUUCUUGCCUUUCCGCCCGCCCACCACGACCCCUCAAGCCAGAUGCCGUCUCUAGUUCGGGAGCGUUGGAUGAGGAUGCCAGGCACUCUGCUUUUCCUAAACAACUUCCAAGAACCCCGGAACAUUUCUUAAAGUGUCUGGAACGAAGCUUUAACCUCGCCUGCUCCAUCAGCCUGGGACGGAAAAGACGCGAGGGGCGAAGAAGAGGUGGGGCACGGGGAGCCCGGGCCGUUCGGCGUAAGUGAUCCAGGCUUCCAGCGCCCCGGGCGCACCCCGCGGAAAGGCGUCUGGGAGUCGGGGACGUGCGGGGGGAGACCACCCGGCCAACCCCGGGGGAUGAGCUGCAAGGCUGGCCACGCCCGGCAGGAGACUGCGCGCAGAGACCCGCCCGGGGAAGCACGGGAGGAGGGAGGGCGGCCAUGUACAACCCCUGGCAGGUGGGAGCCUCCCUGGCGCCAGCUCGGGCAGGGCCACGCCCCUUCCCAACUCCCCGCGCUCGGCCUCCGGACUGCUCAGGGGGCCACGCCCCUUCCGGAUUCCCCGCGCUAGGCCUCCGGACCGCUCAGCGGCCCCGCCCCUUCUCGAGUUCUCCGCGCUCGGCCUCCGGACGGCUCAGGGGGCCACGCCCCGUCGCCCGGGGCCCCGCCCACUCCUCAAGCCCCACGGGACUCCCAGCCUACCUCCCUCCCGCUGCCGCACUGGACUCCCAGACCUCGGCACCAACCGUAUCUCCUGUUACUCGCCCCAGGGUGGUUGCCCGGGGAAAAACUCCAAGGGUUUCACUGGCUGGCCUGGAAACCCUUUCAUCUUUGCUCCAUCAGCAGCAGCUCUUUGAUUGAGUUCUCCUGGCUUUAGAGCCUCCCACUAUGGUCAUGCUGCAAAUUCCCGUGGCCAGCACCCGAGGCCUGCUGGCUCCGAUCUGGGCCACGUGUACAACCAGGUGUGCCCCCUUAGCCUCACGCCCUCCUCCUGUUGCCUCCCCAUCCCUCUAGCCUUCGGGACUUGGGGUUGCAAUGAAUCUUAGGUUUUUUCCAGGAGUCUUUUAUUCCUCCAGCGUCUCCGUGCGCCUGUCCGCUCCAACACCUGACAUUUUCCUUCAACUCCACCCUCCCCUCCCCGAGUCCACAGACACACACCCACCCACACGCCUCUUCCCUUCCCCUCCACCCUCAGUCAGCGGCAGAGUCAGUCCAUCCAAUAGGCAGGAGCCCAAAAGACUGUCCACGGACAGCUGUCCUCUCGCCCAGGAGAGUGGGGCUGCACACAGCAGCAGGCCCAGGAGGAAAUCGUGCUUUGAUAGCCCCAGGCAUCGUAUUUCAUCGUAUUUCACAAGUGAGCCAAAUGGAGAAGGGAUUAGCUGUUUCACCCAAUAAGCCCACAUCUGUAGUUACAUUCUGACUGGGAUAAAAUUACCCUGGUUAUUAAUCCUUCUGCUUUAGGGCAUAAGCUGAUCACCAGCUGGGGUCAGGAAAAAACUCCACCCCAGCUCCUUCCAACUUGCUCCCCCAUCCUCAGCUGCUCCAUUUCCUGUGGUCUAUUCUUGCACAGUUAGGUCUACAAGCCAGGUUCAAGGCCACCAACUGAGGCACCUGUCCCGAGACAGGACCAUUCUAAUCUGCCCUGAAAAGGACAUCCCAUUGAUCAUGUAAGUAUGUACUGAGAAUCUACUGUGGGCAAGACAUUGGUCUUCGCUGUGGGAGAUACAAAAACCAUUCAGGCAUGGCCCUUGCCUUUUUCAUGCCAAGAAAAGCUGAAGUGUGUGGUCAGAAAUUGCAUGUGGUUUCUGGGACUUACUGCCCUGAAGCACCCUGGGUGUAUCGGAUGGCCUCAGGGAACACAGUUUGGGUAUGGGCAGUAUUUUCAUGCCCAUUGCCAUUCCCUUCUGCCUCAAGUGUAUGUGGGCUUUCCCUGCAGUCAGCCAGCAGGCCAGGCCAGGGUGGCUUUGUUUCUGUCUCUGACCCUUUCUCUUCAGACUCCAAAUCUGCAGGUGCUGGAGACUUUGAAGGAGUCUCCGUUUCCCUUGGUAGAAACAAGAGGUAGGAACAAGCAGGUGGAAAGCCAGGGUUACUCCUUCCAGCCAAUGGGUCUGGGGCUGCAGCACACAAAGUUGACAUCCCGAAAGGCCAUUUUCCUCGAUCGCUUCAGACCUGGCAUUGGGUGGACAGACCACAUGAUUCAGCAUCCAAAUUGGAGAUCUCUCAAUAACAGAAAGAGGUGCCAUUGAUAAUUUCGUGGAACUUUCCUGAGCACACCAGGGUGUGCUCAUUCUUCCUGAGGGGUCAUCUCCCUUGGGCAUCGUAAGAGGCACCACUGAGACACAACAGCUUUUGUCACCAUUUCCCAAUUGUGUCCCAAGCUCUCUGUCCUCUUCCCUGUGCUGGUCAUCUCACAGUCUUCUUCUGCAGGUAGAUCCCCCCUACUUCAGCCCUUCCUCCCACCUCAGCUCCUUUGUUCCCGCUGCCAUGCCCAGAACAACCUAUAUUUCCACUCUCCAACCUUGGAUCAACCCAACUGUGUUUUCACGCUACUAUGUCCAGGAUACUGGAUGAUACUAGAGAUAGCCAUCAGUAACAUUCAUUACAUGAAUAAGUCUGGGUUGAUCCUGUGACACAGUUAUGCCUUCUACCCUCUGCUGCUUCUCAACAUUGCUCAGUCCUUAUGUUGGUGUUCUCAUUUCACAUGAUAGAGUUCCAAACCUUUUGUAGCCCGAAUCGUCAUCUAUCCCCUAAUUCUUGGAAAAGACCCUAACUUCACCAAUAGCAACAACAAUCAAAACCAACUGAACAAACAAAAAAAUACUUAAGAUACGAACCUCUCAGAUUUUCUGAACUCUCCACCUCCAGACUAAAUUUGUGGAUGGAUACCUAUCUGUUGACCAGACCCUCCCUCUUCAAUGAAAACUGCCUCUCCUUCCACUCCAUCUGUGAGGCACCCUUGGAUGCUGACAUGUGCUUACAUAGGACUUCCUGUCCACAGCCAGAAUUAGCCAGAAUUCACUGACCCAUGGUUGGACUCCUAAAAUACUCAAGAUGAGAGACAUGUUACUUUUCUUUACUAUAGUAACUAUCAAAUGCAUCCCAUAACCUUAUGUUGUAAAUGUCAAAUAUGCACAAUAAAAUUUAUUUGAAAAAAUAAAGCUGGAAAAUUGAAAGUAAUGAAUGUUCAGUUAAAAUCUGCAAACAAGCUAAUAAAUAAAUACUCAAGAUGGCCCAGUGACAGCCUUUCUCUAGAGUUUUUGAUUUGAGGCCAAGAAGGUUAGUGCAGCCUUUCUCCCAUGGCUGUCACUGUGAAGAUAAACAUUUGGGAAUUGAUGGCAGCCUUGUUUCUCCACCAGGCUGAAGAAACUAGGACCUGCGGGGGCUGAGACUGGAGUGAAACAGAUGUGAAGAGAAAAGUCCUGGGUCCAGGUGGUCCUGGGGCCCAGCCAUGCUCUUGUUUUUUUUUUUUUGUUUGUUUUUUGUUUGUUUGUUUGUUUGUUUUGUUUUAAUAGAUUUAAAUUGGUUCCUGCCAGGUACAGUCAAAGGCCUUUUUACCUGCUUCUCAGAGAAUUUCCCUCCGCCUGCCUGUGGCUAAUUCCUUCUCCUGCACCCUUGGUUCAGCCUCACCUGGCGACCCUUGUUCCAUCACUUCCACCACUUCUCUAGAAUCUUCAGUCAUUUCAGCAAUACAUAUGUUCAUCUUCCUGCCCAAAAACUGAAUAAGCAAAGACUUUCUUUCAUCUCUGACCCUCUUCAACUUCUGCCCUUCCCUUCUACUCACUAUCUCUAUUUUCUCACCUCCUACUUAAUGCCCAAUCUGCUGCUGCUAUCUUGCUCCAUUUCUUCUUCCCAUUUUCCUGAGGCUACUCUCUUGACAGGGAGUGCAUUGCAGAAUAUGUCCAAUUUCUUGUGUUUAUGUUACUUGUCUGCAGCAUCUGGCAUCAGUAACCACCUCCUCUUUCUCAAAACUCCCACUGCACUUGAUGGUUUUCCUGCUGGUUCUUGACCUGAUGCAGAAAAGCUUGACCUGCAGAAGCUGUACUAGAAGCAAUCAGGAUCUAAAGCUCUAGACUUUUCCAACCUGCCUCUCAUUGCCAUAAAAAUGCAACUGGCCUGUGUCUCCUCUCCUGGUGCACUGCUAAGGGAGGGCUGACUGAUCUAAUGAGAUUACUGGAGCUAAGGCAUUCACAGCAUCAAGAGGAGAGACACAGAAAUGUAAGACCUAAGUCCUGCCUUCAAAAACCCACAUGCUCAUUGGAAAAACAACACAGAAACACUUAAAAAAUGAAAUUCAAGCAUGAAGUAACAGCGUGAGGUAUGUCACAAAGUGGUAUGUUAUUAUUUUUUUUUAUGAGGUGGAAUCUCACACUGUCACUCAGGCUGGAGUGCAAUGGCAUGAUCUCGGUUCACUGCAACCUCCACCUCCCAGGUUCAAGUGAUUCUCCUGCCUCAGCCUCCUGAGUAGCUGGGAUUACAGGCGCCCACCACCAUGCCCAGCUAAUUUUUGUAUUUUUUUAUUAGAGACGGGGUUUCACCAUCUUGGUCAGGCUGGUCUCGAACUCCUGACCUGGUGAUCUGCCUGCCUCGGCCUCCCAAAGUGCUGGGAUUACAGGCAUGAGCCACCGCGCCCAGCCAGUGGCAUGUUAUUAAGAGAUGUGGAUACCAGUUUCUCCAGGAGAUCACAGAGCUUUCCCUGUAGGAGUAAUCAAUGGAGGCAUCCUUGUUGGGGAAGGGUCUUGGUGGUAGAUGCUGGUCUGAAAAUUGACCAAGGCCUUAAGUAAAAGUUAGGAGCUGUAUUUCCAGAGUAGAAAAAGAGAGAGACAGAGAGAGAGAGAGAGGGAGAUUCUAGGCGUGAAGAAAGCCCAAGAGCUCACAAAAUCUUGAGCUUGGGAUAGAAAUCAGACUGGACCAAGUGGAGGGUUAUAGUGGACAGUGCUCAUUUAACAAAAUAUUUUGUUUAUAAAUUUAUUAUUUGAUGUUUUAAAAACGUAUCAAGAAAACAUUAUGGGCAAAAUCAGAACACAGUUGGACUUCCUUACAUUUAUGUUAUUUUUUUUCCUUUUUUCAAUUGAUACACAUAUUUGUACAUAUUUAUGGAGUACAUGUGAUAUUUUGUUACAUGCAUGGAAUGUGGAAUGAUCAAGUCAAGGUAUUUAGGGUAGACAUCACCUCAAGUAUUUAUCAUUUUUAUAUGUUGGGAACAUGUCAAGUUCUCUCUUCUAGCUAUUUUGAACUAGACAAUACGUUGUUACUGACUAUAGCACCCCACUGUGGUAUAGAACAUUAGAACUUAUUCCUCCUAUCUAACUGUAUGUACCCACCAACUAAGCACUCUCUUAAUCCCCUUCCCCACCAGCACACCUUCGCAGCAUCUGGUAUCUAUCAUUCUCCUCUCUACCUCCAUAAGAUCAACUUUUUUUAGCUUCCAUAUAUGAGUGAGAACUUGCAAUGUUUGUCUUUCUCUGACAGCCUUAUUUCACUUAACAUAAUGACCUCCAGUUCCAUUCAUGUUGCUACAAAUGACAAGAUUUUAUUCCUUUUUUAUGGCCAAAUAGUAUUCUAUUUGUGUAUUUAUAUCACAUUUUUAAUCCAUUUGUCCAUUGAUGGACACUUAGGUUGAUCCCCUAUCUUUGCUAUUGUGAAUAGUGCUGUCGUAAACUGAGAGCACAGGUAUGCUGUGAUGUACUGAACUCCUUUCCUUUAGAAAAAUACCCCAUAGUGGGAUUGCUGGGUCAUAUGGUAGUUCUAUUUUUAGUUUUUUGAGAAAUCUCCGUACUGUUUUCCAUAAUGGCUGUACUAAUUUAGAUUCUCACCAACAGAUCCUUGCCAGCAUCUGUUACUAUUUUUUUUUUGUCUUUUUAAUAGUAGCCAUUCUAACAGGGGUAAGAAAAUGUCUCAUUGUGGAUUUCGAUUUGCAUUUCCCUGAUGAUUAGUGAUGUUGAGCAUUUUUUCAUGUACCUGUUGGCCAUUUGUAUGUCUUCUUUUGAGAAAUGUCUAUUCAUGUCCUUUGCUCACUUUUUAAUGGGAUUAUAUGGGUUUUUUUUCAACUGUUGGGUUGUUUGAGUUCCUUGUACAUUCUGGAUAUUAGUCCUUUGUCACAUUAAUAGUUUGCAAAUAUUUUCUCCAAUUCACCAGGCUGUCUCUUCACACUGUUGAUUGUGUGUAGAUGCUGUGCAGAAGCUAUUUAGUUCAACAUAGUCCCAUUUGUCUAGUGUUGUUUUUGUUGCCUAUGCUUGUGAUCCUGUUUUAUAUUUAUGGAGGAUAGAGGUGAGACAUCAUAAUCAUAUCAGUGUUAAGGACCUUGAAAGGUUGAAUGCAGAUCUUUAGUAGCACAUAAAGCUGGGACUAUAUUUUGGAAGACUUGAAUUCCAAGUGAAGCAGUUGGACCUUGCAUAUCUUGAUGUGCAAAGGGCUUUGAGGACAAUGACUACCUCAAGUUCUCUGGGUCUCUGGAGAAAAAUAUUUCUGAUUUUACAUACCUAGUCUAAUAUUGGAUUUCGUAUCUUUUACUGCAUAGUGUACAUUUUAAAAACUACAUAUGUAAGAGUUUUCUGGUGGUAGAAAUUAUGCCUCUUUGUUUCAUUACUCUUGUUCAUUGGUAUUAGUUGGAAGAGAUAAUGUCCCUUUAAGUGCAAACCCUCCCUUGAAGAAUAAAUCCUAAAACAACUG
rnacentral:lncRNA from 1 species